GAAUGCAAUGGAAAGAAUAGAAUUAGAUGAAGCAAUGCUACAAGGGCAAGCAGAGAUAUGGCGUUACCUGUACAGCUUCGCAGAUUUCAUGGCGCUUACGUCUGCCGUUGAGCUCCGCAUAGCUGACAUAAUACACUCUAAUGGUGGCGCUGCCACUUUGUCGCAAAUAGCUUCAUGCAUUAGUGAUGGCCUUACUUCACCAGAUAUCACCGCCCUUGCUCGCAUAAUGAGAUUGCUUGUUCGCAGAAAGAUUUUCACUAUCCACCCUCCUUUAGACGGUGGAGAUCCCUUGUACAACUUAACUCACUCAUCAAGAUGGCUUCUACAUGACUCGGAGCAAACCCUGGCGCCCAUGGUACUAAUGGAGAACCAUCCAUGGCAAAUGGCUCCUUGGCACUACUUCAGUCAGUGCGCGAAAGAAGGUGGCACAGCCUUCAAGAAAGCUCAUGGGUGUGAGAUAUGGGAUUUAACAUCGAGGGAUCCCAAUUUCAACAAGCUUUUUAAUGAUGGCCUGGCUUGUACAUCCAAGUUCAUUACCAGUGCAAUCCUGUCAGGUUACAAACAAGGGUUCAACUCCAUUGGAUCGUUGGUUGAUGUCGGAGGUGGGACAGGAGGCUUAAUAUCAGAGAUCGUCAAAGUAUAUCCACACAUCAAAGGUGUUAACUUUGAUUUGCCGCAUGUCGUCUCAACGGCACCGGCAUACAAUGGGGUCUCCCAUAUUGGUGGUGACAUGUUUAAUGCCAUUCCAAAUACCGAUGCAAUCAUUAUAAAGGUACUUACAUAAAUAAUGAAUUUAAAUUCAUUUUUCAUGGAGUAUAGCAUCAAGAAAAUUUUUACAAAUAUUGUAACUGCAGAAACAUGAUUAUUGUUUUUAUCUCUUGUAAUUGUGAGAGUGAAAAUACACGAUUAAGGUAUAAAAAUCUAAGUAGUCCAAUUCUAGUAAAAAUACCAUAGAGAUUUUUGUAUUAUAGACUACAUAAUUUUUUAUCUUUGUACCUUUAAAAAAGGCUUUACAUGAAUAUUACCCUCAACACGAAUAAAAUUAAACUUAGACCAUAAAACAGUAAAAGAUUUUUAUAAUAAUUGAAAUGAUUUGUUAAUCUUAUAAGGUGAAGAUAAUUAAAAUCGUCUGCAUUUUUUUGAACAAUCUCAUUAUAGGUUCUGAUUAUAUCUGCUCUUGUUGAUAUAAUACUUAGAAUUACACAUAACCCCUUCCCACCCAUAAAUAGGAAGAAAAUGCGCUUCAACGUACUUAAACCUACGUCCUCAUGCAUUGAUAAUAACCAGAAUGUUCUAUAAUUAAUUUAAAAUAUGACUAAGAUGUCAUAUUCGCAGAAGUCAUUGUAUGUCAUUUAGCUAUGAAAAAAAGCUUGAGAUAGGGCCCGCUUUUUUAAAGAAUUUUAAAAAAUAAAAUUUAUAAAAAUUGUUUAGGAUCAAGCUUAAAUUUUAAAUAAUUUUGUGAGUUAAUAUUUGAAUUAAUUUUUUAAAUGGGAGAAUAUUUGAUGUAUUGUGAGUAUAUGAAUUUUAUUAAUAAUACAACAUAUCAUUAUUGAAUAAAAUAAAACUAAUAAAAGGUCUAUAAAUAAAUAUUAAUAACUUUAUUUAAAUAUAAUUAAAAGUAAAUAAUUAUAAAUAAAUGUUAAAAUCCUAAGCUCGGAACUCAAUUGUUAUUAGCAUUUAUUUAUAAUAAUUAUAAUUAAUUAAUAUUAAUUAUAUUUAAAUAAAAUUAUUAUUUAUAGGUCUUUCUAUUAUUUUUAUUUUAUUUAAUGAUAAAAUAUCAUAUUAUUUAUUGAUGAUGCAUGAGACUCAUGCAUUGACGGUAUAUUAAAUAUUAAUUAUUUUUUAAAAUACAAAUAAACAUGCAAAUCAAAAACUUUAAAUAAAUAAUUUAAAAUUGAAAUAAUUAAUUAAUAAAAUAUAAUUAUUUUAUAGAAAUAUUAAAAAAUAUAUAAUUUAUAAUUAAAUAAUAAAUUAAUAUUUUUAAUAUUUUUCCUAAGCAACUAAAAACUAAAUACCAAAACUAGUAGCGAGUUACCAUACACCGAUGUCUUGAUUUAAAUACAUUUUUUAAAAUAAAAAUUAAUAAAAAAAGUCGGAUUAUUUAAAUAAAGAAAAUAAUUUUGUUUAAUAAAAAAAUAACCAGACAUGACAGGAGGCCAGAAGGUGAGGAAUGUUCCAUAAAAAAGGGGAAAAUAUAAUGCUAUAUCCAUAAGGGGUUUUUUUUUUUGGGUGAUUUUUAAUUAAAAAAAUUAAGUAACGGAGAAAAUGUUAAGAUAAUUACUUUUAGGUUGCAAAUCAUAUGUUUUUGUUGGUUACCAGAAUUAACUUAAUAGUGAUAGAAGAUUAAUAUUAUGUCAUGGAAUUUUAAUUAAGUUUCAGCAUAUUUUAAGUAAUAUUAAUUAUAAGAAAAUAACUAGAUAUUAAUUUUUUGUAUGUUUUUUAUUUGCAGUGGGUAUUGCAUAAUUGGAAUGAUGAGGAAUGCAUAAAAAUAUUAAGGAAUUGUAAGAAAGCAAUACCAAGAGAGAAUGGAAAAGUGAUAAUUGUUGAAAUAAUUUUGAAAGAAGAUGGAAGUGGAGUGUUUGAUGAUAUCGGAUUUGUGAUGGACCUCGUAAUGUUUGCACAUAACAGUGGUAAAGAGAGAACAGAGGCGGAAUGGAAGAAAAUCUUGGAAGGAGGAGGCUUUUCUCACUACAAAAUCAUUAACAUCCCUGCAAUGGUUUCCAUCAUAGAGGCGUAUCCUGAUGCUCAGUAGCUUUUUAGCAUAAUGCCAGUGGUGGGGAUUUAAUUUCCUAUUUUAUGAAUCUUCCUUUGUUUCAUUUAGGCGUCAAUAACUGUAUGUGAUUGUGUUAUUCUCUCUUUUCUUAUUCUCUCUUGUAAUGGGUCAAAUUUAUUCUGGCCAAAAUAAAAUAAUAAUAAAUAAAAUAAAAUAUUAAAGUCCAAUAAAAAAUAACAGUCCAUUUACAAUAUGCCCCAAAUAAAAAAAUCUUAAUCCAAAGGUGCAAGCCUAAUAGCUUAAACAUCUUUUCAGAAACAGAAACUCUAACCCUAGCCUGCAAGCGGCCGCCUCUACCUCACCAGUAGUCUCGUCGCCCAUAGUGUAACACCUCUAACCCGUGUCCGUCACCGGAUUGGAAUUACGAGGCAUUACCAGACUUAAUGCAUAUAUUUAUUUCAAUUAAUUAAUUAUUUUUAUAAAAAAAAUCAAUUGAUAAAUAUUCGUUAUUACCAAAAUUGAUCAACAAUUUACUUACAAAAUUGAAUCAGAUCUUAAAACGUAAUUAGACACAACAAAUGCCACUUUUGGACAGUAUUGCUACAGGUUUCAGUUAAUUGAUUCUUUAUUACACCAAGUUUUUAAUGUUAGUAUGACUUAACCAAAGAUAUCCUAUUUUGGACAGUAUAAUUACAUGCUUUAGACAGCAAUAAUCCUCCUCCUAACAGCAACAUUUAACAAUUUAAUACAAUAAGUGUCUUAAAUCGGACAACUAAUGAUACGCAUCACAACAUUAGCAUAUUAAUUGUCUAAAUACCAUAAUUAUGCCUUAAUUUAGAUAGUCAAUGCUUCAUAAUAUAACAGCAACAUAUUAAUUAGCUAAUAACUUGUCUUAAAUUCAACUCUAACUCCCCAAGCAGUAUAAACCGAAUAGCAUACAAGUUAACUUCAAACUAAUUAAAAUUUUAUAGUAUGGAGUUCAGCAGAUUAAACAACCCUUACUUAUCUAUCACAACUUAUACUAUAAUUAAAUAUGCACAAAUAAAAUCUCCAUUUUAAUGACCUUUAAAACUAUAUGCAUAGACACCAAAAUAGGUCAAAACAAAGUAAGCCAUUUUCGCAUGGCUUUUGAUUACAAAAUAUGUACUUGAUCCAAAUUCAACUUUCCUAACAAGCUAUACAUGCCAUACACUCAAAAAUCAACUUAGUGAAAUACCGAAGAAAAUUGUCGAUAGUGUGAUAGGCUUUGCUGACGAUCUCCGAGUACGUAACGAUCUCCAAAAAUCUAUAAAACAAAGACAAAUAAAAGAAAGAAAUACAGAGUAAGCUAACUUAGCUUAGUAAGUCUUUAGCAAAACAUAUAAUUGUACUUAUUAAAUAAUUCCUUAGAAAAUUUUGUUAAAGCCGCAAAUACCACAUAUAAACAAUAUCAAACAUCCAUUAACCUCAAGACAUUUUAAUCAUGACUAUUUAGCAAUAUAUAUUCAUACUUUUAAACUUUUAUCUACCAUUAACAUAAGGCCGAAUAUGCUUAUCUAAUACGAAUACAUAUAUAAGUACCUUUUAUAUAAAUAUAAUCGACCAACAUACUUAGCUAAUCAUUAAAUAAGAUAUAACAUAACACAUACCUGAUUAUUAAAAUUUUGUAAUCCGUUCGUUAUUACAUUGAUAAGGAACUUACUAAACGCAUGUCUUGAGAUGAUUCACCGGCAUGUAGCCUGCUAGGCUUGAAGCCUGCUAGGCUUGAAGCCUGAUUCAGUACACCGGCAUUAAGCCUGCUAGACGUAAAGUCUGAAAAAUUUAACCGACAUUAAGCCUACUAGACAUAAAGUCUGAAAUAUUUCACCGGCAUUAAGCUUGCUAGACAUAGAGCCUGAUUAUCUCAUAUAUAAAGCUGAUUUUUUUUCAUAUAAUUCUUUAUGAUUUACAUAAGUCUUUCUCAAUAACCAUAUCUCAAAAUAAAAUCGAAUGAUAUUCAAUUCUUCAUAGCAAACACACAUUCGAACCACAUAUAUAUAAUCCACAACAUUAAAUUCAGUUCAUAGUAAUUGAAAAAAAUAUAUUCGAACCACAUGUAUGUAUAUAUAAUUCAUAACAUUAAGUUUAGCUAAAAAAAAAACUAUAACAGACAUUCGAACUCCAUAUAAAUAUCUUUAAUUCAUAACAUUAGAUUCAGUUCACAGUAAUUGAAACAUACCUUCGAACCACUUGUAUAUAUAUAUUACACUAUUAGUUCAACUUAUUGAACUCAAGGUAUACUUUGGUUAACAUACACCUAACUUAUAAAAUAAAUUCAAUCUACCAAAAUCAAUCAAGUUCAUUACAAAUUAUAUACUAUAAAUUUCAACUUAUUUAAUAUAUAAUAGAUAUAUAAAUAUAUUCUGAUUUAAUAAUAUUUAUUCGCUAUUAGACUUACCUCGGACGACGAGAAAUCGAAAUCGGACGAUUAUUCGACGGCUUUAGUUUUUCCCCGAUCUAACUCCGAUUUCUUUGGUUCUUGAUCUAAAUACAUUCAAAAUGAGCUAGUUUAUAUAUUAUUUCAUUCAAUUUAGUCCAAAAACACAUAAAUGGGAAAAUUACCAUUUUGCCCCUAACAUUUACACUUUUUGCAAUUUAGUCCCUAUUGCAUAAAACACAAAAUACACAAAAUUUCAAGGUCCCAUGCUUGAGCCGAAUUUUACCCAUGAUUAUACAAGUCCAUAUAUUCCAUCUAUUUCACAUGUUAGUCCCUUAAUUUAUUAUAAUUACAAUUUAGCCCUAAAUACUCAAAAUCAUCAAAAUCAAAAUACAAAAUAUAUUAAUCCAACACAUAGCUUUCAUUUUUCAUCAACUAUUAUCACAAAAAUUACAAAAGCAUCAAUAGCAUAACUCAAAAUUAUCAUCAAAUUUCAAAAUUGAGGCAUGAGCUAGAUAGAGUGCUAAGCAACAAUCACAAAAACAUAAAAAUUAUCUAAAAUAAAUCAAAAAUACAUACCUAACUAGCCAAUGCAAGUGCCGAACCCUAGAACCCUUUUUCUCUUUUCUUUCUUCUUUGUCUUUUCUGCAAGAACAAAGAUAAUAAUGAUCAUUUGCAUGCUUGUGUUUUAAUGAAUUAUCAUGCAAUUAUCCAUUUCCCUUUUUACCCUUUUUAAUUUUAUUUCAUUUCUACUAACUCAUGUCCAAAAGUGUCCAUGCAUGAAUUAAAUGGUGUAAUUGCAUCAUAAAUACCUCAUCCUAUAAAGACAUCAACAAUUCAACACUUUAACAAAUGGCACACAGCUUUUGCAUUUUCUGCAAUUAAAUUCUUUUUCACAAAUCGACACCCAAACGAUAAAAUUUAAACACAAAAAUUUCACACAAUCAAAUUCACCCCUAAUAAACACACAAAAUAAUAUUUAAAUAUUUUUCUGACUCAAAUUUGUGGUCCCGAAACUACUAUGUCCGUUUAGGGUCAAAAUCGGGCUAUUACACGUGGUCUGCCACCGUCAACCACCACAUGCAAGGACAGAAACCAAACACGCAACAGAGGGAAGAACAGUAGAAAAAUAAAAAAAAAUAAUAGUGUAAUCUGGCUAUAAAAAAGCCUGAAAACCAAUUGUAAAAGGGGUCUUUUUUUUUUUAAAAAAAAAGAGAAAUCGAAUACGAAAAAAAGGCAAUCGAAAUACAAAAUCAAAAAACUUUAUAAGGUGAUUUUUUAUUUUUCUCUUUUGAAUAUAUUAUUACAUGUAUAUAAAAAAAGUAAAAAAAUCUUACCUGAGAUACAUCAUUGCCGCCGCCGCCGUCGGUCCUUUUCCACUGAGACGAAGGCCUCAUCGGAGAAAGUCGAAACCUUUUGGUUUCUUUUCCCUUGGCCGAAUGUUAGAUAGAUUUUUGGGGAUUUAAACCCCCAGAUCUGGGUUCUAUUCAAAAAGGGGGCAGAAAAAAGGAUCUUUUAGGUUUUUCAACCAUAGGGAACGGUGGAGCCAUCGUUGGUGACCGGUGGCCAUUGCGGCGGAGGCUCGUCGGCGCCAGGGCCGGAGAUGGGGAGGCUUGGAGAGAGAAAAAAAGAGGCUUUUAGAAUUUUUUUUAAACUGGGGUUUGAAAUGGAAAUUUUUUUCUUUUACUUUUAUAAGCCCCAAAAACGACAUCGUUUUGGACCCGAACCGAUCUGACCCAACCCAACAAGAUCCGAGUAUUUUUUUCUUAAAAGGGAUAUUUACAACUUUAGUCUUUCUACCUUUUGAGUUGUUUUAAUUUAAUCCUAAUUUCGCUAUACUUUAUUUUUAUAAAUUUCGCCAUUCAAUUUUAUCUCAUUUCCAAUUAAGUCCUAAGUUCGCUGAUCUUUUGGAGAAAGGACGAGUGUCCUGAGGGUUGGGAUAAUUUUGCAUUUAGUCCCUGUGUGUUUUCGUGCUUUUCAUUUUAGUCUUUAUUUACUUAUUUUAUCAUAAUUUAUACUUUUAACUUCAUUUUCAUUCUGAUUCAGUCCUUGGUUUAUUUAAUUUCAAUUUUUCAUGAAAGUUUUUAUUUAUUUAUGUAUUUAUUUAUUCAUUGAUUCCUUUAUUCUUUUUGCAUUUAAAGUUUAUAGUGUUCUUUAUAUUUUUAUUUUGCACAUUUGUUGUUGUUAUUAUUAUUAUUCUCAUUAUUAUUAUUGUUAAUAUUUAUUUUUCAUUAUUAUUUAUUUUUUUAUUUUUAAAUUUUUUUAAAAUUAUUCUUUAAUUAGUAUUAGAAUUAGUAAUUAUAAUAUGAUUAUUGCCAUUGUUAAUUGGUGUUUUAUUAUUAUAAUUAUAUCAUCGUCAUUUACUAGUAUGGUAUUUUUAUUUUUUUUCGUACAUUAUCGUUUCAUUUUUAUACAUUUCCCUUCUUAUUUUAUUUUGUUAUAACAAUGCCAUGAGUUGUGUUUAAAUGUACUUACCUGUUUUUUAUACUAUGCCCAAAUAAGCUAAAUACACAUUAUUUUAAAUAUUGCAUUUGUCUUUGCACGAGGCACAAAAAAGGAAAUUUUUUAAAUCAAAGUAAUGUUCAUUAUUUUGGAAUUACAAAAGUCGUGUUCUUAACUUACGGAAUAUGGCUUCUUUCUAAAAUAGAGAUAGUCGAAAAGUUGUUCUCGAUGAUCUAAGGCAUUGUGUCCUAACUUACGAGACAUGAUCCUUUCUUUUCAAUUAACUUGAAAUAAGCCCCUUUUCGUGAAAAUUAAUUUAGUUAAGUAAUGCCUUAAUAAAGGAUCGUAUUUUUAAAUCUCUUCAAAUUUUCAAUUUUCGACACUAAAGACAUCAAGUAAUCAAUUAGGUAUCAAUUUUGGGCAUAACGAGGGUGCUAGUCCUUCUAGUUGCUUAACUGACUCCCAAACCCGUUUUUUAGAUUUUUGUAGACCGAAAAACAUUAUUUUAAUAAAUCAAACCUCUUAUUAAAACAAUCAAAUUACGAGGUGACCCAAUCACACCUCCUAAAACUGAUUGGUGGCAACUCCUAUUUUCAUUUUAAAAUUAAAAGUCGAUUUCAAAAAAAAAAGUUUCAACAGCUUGGCGACUCCAUUGGGGAUAAAAAAAAGAGUCAAGUCGCGAGUUGAUAUGUUUCCUCUAUGGGUUCGAGUCUCUUCAUUGAUAAUUUGAUUUAAAUUUACGAUCCCUUCAUUGCAUUUCAUCCUUCAUUUUUGUGGUCUUCAUCAUGUUACUACACAAUGAUACGUUUGCUCUAUGGGUUCGAGUCUCUUGAUAUAUUUUCGUAUAUUGCAUUGCAUAAUCGUUCGAUUUUGCCCUUCUUAAGUGGAAGUGUGAAACUAUUCCUUCGUGAGGCCUUUACCUUCGUAUAGGAUAGUGAAUUGCUUUCGAGAGACAUUCAUACCUAUGUCUUCGUGAGAUUUUCAUCUCCGUAUAACCAUAGGGAAAUGUAUUCCCCUGAACCGAACUUAGCCCAUAUGAACCUAUAAUGGGUGAAAAUCGAAGAGUCUAUUGGUUCAGGUACCCUUACUUUAGAACCGAUCCGCAUAUAAUGAGCCCUAAGAGCCUACCCUAUGUAAAACCAUACCGAACCUCUAGUAGUUACUUGAUUAGGUGCUCGAUUUAUUAUUUCUUACUUUGAAUUCUAGAUUUAUAUGAAAUAUAUUGACUUGUUUCGUUUUGUUUUGCCUAUGAUGGCAUUGCACUUUCAUCUUUAAAAAAAAAAGAGUGUUGAUUUGUGUUCGGUUGCUAAAUAGAGAGCUUGUCAUGAAAAAGAGGUUUCUUGAUUAAGUGGAAGACAACAUGUCCGUGCGAAUAUGGUCCGAGAAAAGGCAAAAAGAGAAAGGUGAUAGCCUGUGAGAGGGGCAGGUUAGAAAUAUUAACCACGUUAUGUGUGAAGCUUUGUCCGAGUACGAGAAGUGGUUAACCACUUGUAGACCCCAACCGUUCAAAGCCCGAAAUAUGAAUCGGAGUCGGAUCGGGGCUGAGAAUUAGCUUUGUUUCUUGGGAAAGUUAAGGUUUUGAGUGUGAAUGCGAUGCCAUAUAUGUAUCCGUUUUAUGUAAAGAAACUUCUUUUCUAGUAAAAUUGUUCUAAUAGAAUUGAACUAGAAUCAACACCUUUUUGCAUACAUCUUUUCCAUUCAUUAACAUUACAUUUCAUUACAUGCAAUAAGUUUCAUGAAAUCCAAAAGUGUUUCGAGUUCAGAACUCUAGUACAGGGCCUGAUGGAUAGCAAAGAGUUGAAAUUCUUUGAAAACUCGAGAGUUUGGAAACGAAACUAAAAAAUACCUAUCAAGAAUUUUUCCUUACAUCCUCGGGAAUGUUUUGAACAACUGGACUAUAUAGGAGAUCCCUAUAGUUUUAAGGACUAUUUCAGAGUAAUGUUCAAAACACACUUAUUGCUCUAAGCCUGAGAGCAAUAAGCAUCCUUUUUGUGAAAAAGGCAUAUGUCCAUUAUUUUUAUUUCAAUAAAAUGCAUCUUUGUGUCUCAUUUUGGUAAAAAUUCUUUUAUUCUUUCAAUUUCAUUCAUACUCAUACCACACAGAUAAUUAUUCUUAGAUUCAUUUAUUCUUUGGGUCUUCUUUUAUUCCUAUAACAGGUCUCCACAUAUCAAUUAUACGAGUGACACUGAUACUAACUCAGAAUCUCCUUUUAAGCAAGAUAUGUGUCUAGAGGAACCUCAAGAGUUUGAAGAUGAUCGAGAUUGUAACCUAUCUCCUGAUUUGUUAAGGAUGGUAGAAUAAAAGGAGAAACAGAUUCUGCCUCACAAAUAUUCAGUAGAAAUUAUGAGCUUAGGAGACGGACAAGAAAAGAAAGAGGUGAAGAUCGGAGCUUGCAUCACCGUAGAGACAAAGUGAGACCUCAUUGAGUUACUUCAAGAAUUCAAAGAUGUCUUCGCAUGGUCAUAUCAAGACAUGCCUGGGCUAGGUACUGAUAUUGUGAUACACUGGCUCCCCAAAAAAGAAAAAUGUAAGCCUGUUUAAUAGAAACUCCAAAAGAUGAGGCCUGAUGUUUUGUUAAAAAUAAAAGAAGAGGUUAAGAAACAAUUUGACACUAGUUUCCUACAAGUGGGUAAAUACUCAGAGUGGGUAGCUAAUAUUGUCCCUGUCCCUAAGAAAGAUGGAAAAGUAAUAAUGUGUGUAAACUACAAGGAUUUAAACAAAGCCAUCCCAAAGGACAAUUUUCCGUUGCCUCACAUCGACACAUUAGUAGAUAAUAAGGCAGGUUAUUCACUGUUCUCCUUUAUGAAUGUCUUCUCCGAAUACAACUAGAUUAAAAUGCAUCCUCAAGAUAUGGAAAAGAUCACAUUUGUAACCGUGUAGGGAGUAGUUUGCUAUAAAGUGAUGCCAUUUGGAUUGAAAAAUGCGGGAGCAACGUAUCAAAGAGCCAUGAUAACUUUGUUUCAUGAUAUAAUGCAUAAAUGAGGAUUGAAAUCGACCUUGACAAAGUCAAGGCUAUAUAGGAGUUAUCUAUGCUGCACACUCAAAAAGAGGUUUGGGGUUUCUUAGGGAGAUUAAAUUACAUCGCCCGGUUUAUUUCACAAUUAAUCGAGAAAUACGACCCCAUAUUCCGUCUCUUUAAGAAACAUAAUCCAUGUGUAUGGAAUGAAGAAUGCCAAAAGACUUUCGACAGGGCCCAACAUUACUUGUCCAAUGCCCCUAUGCUAAUGCCACCUAGCCUAGAUAAGCCGCUGAUACUAUACUUGGCAGUAUUUGGGAAUUCCAUGGGAUGCUUGCUUGGCCAACAUAAUAAGUUAAGAAGGAAAGAAAGAAUGAUAUACUACCUCAGUAAGAAAUUCACUGAAUGUGAGACAAGAUACUUGUCAAUUGAGAAAUUAUGUUGCGCUUUAAUCUGGACAACCCGAAGACUGAAAUAGUACAUGUACCAUACAACUUGGCUAAUCUCAAAAAUAGACCCUCUAAAGUACAUGAUGGAGUCGACUGCUUUGAAUGGAAGGAUGGCCCGAUGGAAAAUUCUGCUUUUUGAAUUUGAUAUAGUCUAUGUGAAUCAGAAGGCAAUAAAAAAGAGUGCAACAACAGAUUUUCUAGCCAAUAGAGAACUAGAAGAUUAUGAGCCUUUGAACUUUGAUUUCCCGAAUAAAGAUCUAAUGUAUGUUGCAACCAAUGAAGAAUAUGCUUAGGAAGGACAUCCUUGGAAACUGAGUUUUGAUGGAGCAUCAAACAUUAUGGGUAACAAAAUUGGGGCAGUCCUAGUAUCCUUAAAUGGAGAUCAUUAUCCCUUUACUAGUAAAUUAGAUUUUGAUUGUACAAACAGUAUGACAGAAUACGAAGCAUGCAUCAUGGGUAAUACUGGAGGUAUAUGGGGAUUCUGCACUAGUGAUUUAUCAACUCAAAGGAGACUGGGAGACAAGAGAUCCCAAGUUGAUCGAGUAUAGAAGGCUGGUCCUAGAGUUAAUUAAAGAGUUUGAUGACAUCACCUUCUGCUACCUUUUGCAAGAUGAAAAUCAGAUGGCUGAUGCCCUAGCUACUUUAGCUUCCAUGGUCAAAAUGAACAAACAAGAGGAUGUAAAACAUAUCCAGAUGAGUAUUUAUGAACAAACAAGUAGAAAAAUAAAAUGAUGAUUCUGAGCCUAAAUUUUUUGUUGAAUGUAGAAAUAGAAAAGAUUGGCCAAAAUGGAAAGAUUCAAUUCAAGCAUAAUUGAAUUCACUUUCUAAAUGUGAGGUUAUUGGACCUGUAGUCCAGAAACCUAAAGGUGUAAAGCCGAUAGAUAUCUUAUUAGUCUGGCUGUACGUGAAAAACUUUACAUGUAUCUAAUGGAUGUUGUUACAGCCUAUUUGUAUGGCACACUUGAUAGUGAAAUUUAUUUGAAAAUCCCUGAAGGAUUUAAAAUCCCUGAAGGAUUUAAAAUCCCUGAAGGAUAUAGAGUUUCUCGGGAGAAUUGUUCAAUUAGAAUAAACAAAAGUUCAUAUGGAUUAAAACUAUAACACCCUAACCCAUAUUCGUCGCCGGAUUAGGGUUACAAGGUAUUACUGGACAUAACACAGAUCAAAAUAGGCAUUUACUAAUUUUUUUUUUGUAAUUCAAUCUUAUCAAAACACAUACAAUUUAAAUUUGUAAGAAUAUAACGCAAUUUAUAAAUCAUAACACAUGUAAAUAAUUAUAAAACACAUAAUUCAUUUAAUCAACUAAAACUCAAAUAAACUUUACAACUUAAAAUUCAUACAUAAAUCAUGCUUUAAAAUUUUAUGCAUGUCAAUGUCUAUUAUUUACUCACAUAUUCAAUAUAACUAAUGAGCAAUGAGAACCAUGUUAUAAGCACUCAAUGCAUAUAAUAUUCGUACAUUAUAAUAUGACUUCAUCAAUAUUGGCAUUUGCUUCUUAAAUACAUGUUCAAACAUAUAUUCUUAUUUAACAUAUAUCGAAUAAAUAUCAAUGCAAUUACUUAUAGAUAAUCUGUAAGCCUUAUCAUUUUUAUAAAUUGAUGAUCAUGUACAUAUUAAAAGAAACAUAACAACCAUAUUACAUGACCUAGUUUUUAUUUUGUUAUUAUACAUAUAUGUUGCAUUAAUUAAUGAUAUACUAAGACCGAACAACUUAACAUAUUAUAUACCAUUAUUUAUAUUACCAAAUAACACACCAUUUUACACCACAAAUGAUAGUUUAAUAAUACACAUAAUCUUCUAAGAUAAUCGAAUAAUAAAUAUAAUUACUUUGAACAAUUUAUGAUUAAUAAUGUACAACCCAAUAUUUGCCCAGCCCAAGACCAAAAAACAAGCCCAAAUGACCCAAUUCUAAACCCACCUAACCCAAUACAAACCCGAAGCCCAUUAACCCAAUAGGCCCAACUUCCCUAAAAACAGCCAAAAUAGGGUUUCAGAAACUGAAACCCUAGGCGCCGCACCUAGUCCCUGGCCGUCGCACACCAGUCUCAUCCGCGCCUGCCCACGGUCACGUCGGCCACCCCACUUACGCCGUCACCUGCAAAACACGCAAGAAACAGUAGCAACCAAGAAAAAAUUAAAAAAAUGUAAACAGGCUAUAACAGCCGAGGAUCCCCAAUAUUAAGGGGUUCGGUUUUUGAUUCUCUUUUUCUUUUCUUUUGUACCACCACUUACACAGAAACAAGAAAUAUAUAAAAUUUAAAGGUGAUUUCUGGUUCUUCUUGUUUUCGUUUUAACUUUUUUUUCUUUUGUUUGUUUAUUUAUUUAUACAUAUAAUAAAAAAAUGAGGGGGAAAAGGGAAAACUCACCGGGUAGAGGGCUUCGAACGCCUCUCUAGCGCUUCCUCGGUCGUCGGAGGCGGUAGCAGUGUGGUGAGCCGAGCGGUAGCGCAACAAGGGCCUUAGAACCCUAAAAGGCCGGACCUCUUGAGAGGAAAAGAGAGGUUUUUUGAAAUUUUUUUAAGAGAGGUGUCCGAAAUGUUUUUUUGGGAAAAAAUGGGUUUAAAUACCCAAACGAAACGGUGCCGUUUUGAGAUCCUUUAACCCGCGUGGUGACCCGACCCGAGGGCAGGAUCCGCGUGUUUUUGCUAAGGGGGAUAUUUGCGCGAGCGGUUCCCCUAACUUUGUAGUGCAUUGCAAUUUGCCCCCUUUUCAUUAUUUUCUUUUUUAAUUUAGCCCCAUAAUUUUAUUUUUGUUCCAAUUUGGUCCACUGCAGCGCUGCGUUUUGGGAGCUUUGGUUUAUUUUUAGUUUUGGUCCCCCUUUUUUGGCGCGUGUUUCAUUUUAGUCCUUUUCGUCUUUUUUUAUUUCGAAUUUGCCCAGUAUAUUUGUUUUUAUUUUGAUUUAGUCCCUUUUUAGCAAUCUUAUUAUUAUUUUAAUUAUUUUAAUAUAUUAUCAUUUAUCAUUUUUGUUAUUAUUAUUAUUUAUAAUUAUUAUUACUACUAUUAUUAAUUAUUAUUAGUUUUAUUUUCCUUUUAUUUAUUUGUUACUAUUAUAUUAAUAUGUUAAUUAGUUUUAUAUUGUUUUCAACUUUAUUUUUAUUCUAUAUAUAUAUAUGCAUUAUGCUUAUCCAUAUUUUAUAAUAGCUUAUUUUUAUAUACACAUAAAUGUAUAUAUGUAAAUAUAUAUUUUUUAUAUUCUAUAACUUAUAUACGUAUGUAUUUGUACAUCUAUAUAUAUCUAUACACAUUUUUUAUAAAUACAUGUAUAUAAAAUAUAUUUUCAUACACCUUUAUUAUAUAUAUACACAUUUGUAUACUUACAUACACUUCAUACUUUCAAAUAUAUAUAUACAUUUUGUUUAUAUUCUUUAUACUUCAUAAUUUUACAUACCUACACCUAUAUGUACUUUUUUUAUAUAUACAUACAAAUAUAUUCUUUAUAUUUUAAAACAUAUUCUAUACAUAGGUAUUUUCUAUAUAUUUUAUAAUUCACAUAUGCAUACAUAUUUUUAAUUUAUAUUUCUAUACAUAUAUAUAUAUAUAUAUAUCUUUACAUUUUAAAUUGUAUUCACUAUUUAUUUAUUUCAUUUUCAUUAUUAUUUCGAAUGAAUGCUUUAAUUUUAUUCGUUUAUAUGCGAUUGUUAUUUUGUAUGUUGUAGAUUUGAUCUUUUAUUUGUUUUAUAUUGUGCCAUUGCUUGUAUCAUUUUCAUACAUUCAUAUUCAUUAUGGUUCUGCUAUGCAUAACAACAAUGUAAUUAGUUUUCACAUUCUUUACUACGACUUCGUGUUUUAUUUUACUCGAUAUAAUGAAAUUUGUUUUUAAUAAAUAGCAUUUCGUGUUUAGAUUCGAGAAAGUCGUGCCCUAACUUACUGGUUUUCGAUUUUCACAAUAAAUCUAAAUACGUGAAUCUUUUCAAACUCAAGUUUUAAAUGAUCUCGGGAAUAAAAAAGAUCGUGUCCUAACUUACUGGUCGCGAUCCUUUUUUUUAAACCCGAGAUAGCUAAAUACCUUUUAAAUUUCUGGCAUCCAUUCACGCAUCGGGAAUUCGAGACAUUGUGUCCUAACUUACUGGAUAUGAUUCUCUUCCUCGAUUAACAUGAAAUAUGCCCCCUUUUCCCGAAAAAUUUUCAACAUUUUAAUACGAGGAUCGUAUUUUUAAAAUUCUUCAAAAUUUUUAAUUUUCGACAUUAAGACAUUAACUAGUAAACUGGGUACCAAUUUUGAGCGUUAUGAGGGUGCUAAUCCUUCCUUGUACGUAACCGACCCCCGAACUCAUUUUUCUGAAUUUCGUGGACCAAACUCGUUGUUUUAAUAAAAUUAAAUUGUUUAUUAAAAACAACCACUUUUACGAGGUGACCCGAUCACACCUCAUCAAAAAAAGAUUGGUGGCGACUCUCACUUUCAUUUUCAUUUUUCAAAACCCAAGUCGACCCCGUUUUUCAUCCAAAAAAUGGUGUCAACAAAUAAUACACCUACUUUUAUUAUAUUUAAUAAAACCUAAUAUAAGGCUUAAUAAUUAAAAGCAUAAGUAACAUUUCACAAAUUAUACUAUGAAACUUUCAAGAACCAAAUCAUGCAUAUUUUCCAAAGUCCGCAUUUCAUUAUCAUACAAAACUAGACAUUACAUAUUUGAUUUUGUAUAUGAAUCAACCAAUCCAUAUUAUAUAUAUAUAAACAAAUAUCAUGCUCAUCAUCAUAAGCCAUCCCAUUAACCUAUUACAUUUUUAUAUACAUUUAAACUUUCAAGUCUAAAUCAACCUAAUUCGUUUGAAAAUGCCAUUUCAAAUUGAUGACAAAACUACAAAUCUUAGUUUAAUAUAUAUCCUAACAUACAAAUACUCAUUUACCCUAUUAUUAUAUCGAAUGCAAGAAAUUACCACCCUUUCCAAGCAUAUUUCAAUGCAUGAAUCACAACCUAUAUUAUUUAAAUAUUAAAAUCAAACAUACUAUACAUGUCAUUUAUAUAUAGAAUACUUAACCUACUUACCUUAAUCACUUAUUUGCCGAAUAAUAUGAAUGAAUACCACCAUGUAUAUAUAUAUAUAUGCUCUACCAUAUAAAUACUAAUCAUAUAAAAUUAAACCAUGAACAAAGUAUACUUAAGCCAUAAUUCAAUCACAACCAAACAUCAACAACAAAAUUAAGCCAUUUUCGCAUGGCUUUCAUACAUACACUUUUGAAUUUAAGCCAACUCCAAAACUAGUCUAUACAUACCAUAGUUUCUAAUAAAAUUUCAGCUUAUAAUAAUAUACUGUAGUUAGUCGAUAGUGUGAUAGGCUUUACUGGCAAAUCCCCGAGCUCGUAACAACUUCAAAUCUAUAAAACAAAGGUAAACAAAUACAAACACACACAAUAAGCUAUUUAAAGCUUAGUAAGUCAUAAUCAUAAACAUGUAUUUUAAUUAUAGAAAAUAACAUUUAACUAGUAACAUUUAAGUCACACAAUUAACAAUAUAAGAUUAUCAUAUACUACAAAAUCAUAAUUUGAUUACUUAUGCAAUUCAUAUAAUCGAAUGUGUUCUUUUGCAAUUGUAUAUGAAACUUUCAUCUCAAACAAUAUAAUUAACACCAACAAAGCCAAAUCAUAUGUACAUAUAUCCAAACAUAAUAAUUCAAACUUAUAUGUUCACAUACCUUAUAUAGCUCCAAGUAAAUUUACUUACCUUAUUUUCACAUAUAUUUUAACUAACACAUACCUGAACAUAUAAUUCAAUUUCACAUUUGAUCUUCGUUUAACAUUGCCCGUGGAACCAUUCGGAAUUAAAAUGGAUAUGCGAAUAGUCGAAAAGCUUGUACAAUGCCAACGUCCCAGACGUGGUCUUACACGAAAACACAUAUCGGAAAUCCUAUGUCAUGACAUAAGUAUCCUAUCUAUUCCUAGGGUUCGUAUGGGACUUCCAGACAUUAAUUAUCGAUCAAAUCAAAUUCAAAACAAAUCCCCAUUCCAAGAUCACAUUCGACCAAGUCAUUUAAUAAACCAAAGAAUUCAAUUUAUCACAUUUAUUUACACAUUCAUUAAUUUAAUGACAUUUAAAAGCUUAUCGAGUUGCCUCCGAUAUCGAGGGAUGAAAUUGACUAAUCGACUACUUUCGACUUCCCUCGAUCUAAUUCUGUAGGGGUGAGCAAAACUCGAUUCGACUCGAAAAAAUCGAAAAAAAUUUGAAUUUCGAGUUAAACGAAUCGAGUUAUUCAAGUUAAUCGAGUUAUUCGAAUCAACUCGAAUUUUUUUUCGAAUUUCGAGUUCGAAUUAAGUCGAGUUUUCGAAUUCGAAUAACUCGAAUAAUUCGAAUAUCAAAGUAUAAUAUUUUACAUUUUUACCCCAAACUCCCAAACAUUUUUACUUUUCCCUCAAAACUUUUACCCCUUCCCACUUCCCCCCAAAACUUUUACUCCCCUCCCCUCCCCUCCCAACCCCCCAAUCUACCCAAAAUCCAUUUCCCACCAAAAUUAUACUCUUCCCAUUUAUUUUUUCUCAAAAUUUUACUCCCAAAAACCCUCAAAACCUUUUAUUUUCCCCCAAAAUUUUUACUCCCUCCCACUUUUCCCCUAAAACUUUUAUUCCCUUCCCAUCCCACCUCCCAUCUAUCCCAAACCCUCCCUCCUCCAAUUUUUUUUUAAUAUUUUCCCUCCAAAAUUUUACUCCCCCUAUUUACUUUCCCUCAAACUUUUAUUCUCCAAAACUUUUUAUUUUUCCCCUAAACUUUUACUUCCCACCCUUUACUCCCAAAUAAAAAAUCAAAAUAUCCAAAAAAAAAUUCACUAAACAUAAAUAGUAAUAAUUUUAUUUAUAUCUACUAUUUAUAUUAUUAAAUUAAAUUUCACAUUUUAUAUUAUUUAUAUUAUUGAAUUGUUUAGUUAUAUUGAAUAUUUAUAUUAAAAUUGAAUUAUUAAUUAUGCCAUAAAAUAUUCGUGUUAAAAUUUUAUAUUGGUAUCAAUUUCACAUUUUAUUUUUAAAAUAACUUUUAUUAAAAAAUCAUAUUUUUACAUUUAAUAUAUUUUUUAAUUCUAAAAUACAUAGUGACAAGAAUCUGAAGAUAAUUGAAACAACUAAGCAAGCAAAGAAGCUAAUCGGUAUAUAAAAAAUUAAUAAAUAAAUUAUGAAGUGAUGAAAGUUAAUAAAAAAUUUGAUUAAGGUGGACAAAUUUUAUUACGAUGGGUGACAAUGGUUAUAAGGACCCAAAAUUAUUUUUUAAAAUUUAACUCGAACAAAUAUAUUCGAUUCGAUUCGAUUCGAAUUCCAUCUCACUCGACUCGAUUCGAGAAAACUUCAAAUAAAGUUAGGAUGAUAAAAUGAGAUUCGAAAACUCGAUUAACUCAAAAAAUUUCGAUUCGAUUCGAUUCGAUCGAAUGCUCACCCCUAUAAUUCUAUAUUCUUCGGUUCUUGAUCUAAACAUAUUCAAAUUUAACCCUUUUAUUCACAAAAUCAUUCAAUGUAAUCCAAAAACACAUAAAUAGGAAAAUUACCAUUUUACCCCUAAUAUUUUACACUUUUUACAAUUUAGUCCCUAUUACAUAAAACACAAAAUACACAAAAUCUCACAACAACAUAGUUAGGCCGAAUCUUCCUUGUACUCAUAAAAGUCCAUACAUUUCAUUUAUUUUUCAUUUUAGUCCCUCAAAUAUUUAUUUUCACAAUUUAGCCCUAAUUACUCAAAUUCACCCAAAAUUUAAAAACAAAACAUGUUAAUUUAACAAAUAUAUUUCAUAUUUCACCUACUAACAUCAUAAAACUCAAACAUUCAUCAAUGGCACAUUUCAAAAUCAUCCAUAAUUCACAAAAUUAAGACAUGGGUUUUGAAGUAUUCAAAGCGACGAUCUCAAAAACAUAAAAAUUAUCAAAAAAAUCGAGCUAAAACUCACCUUGAAUUAGACUCAACAAUGGCCGAAUAUCCUUGCUUGGUUUCUUUGUUUUUCUUUAGCUUAGCUUCGGUCAAGAAAGGAUGGAGAAAAUGAAAUUUUAUUUAAUAUAAUAUAACAUAUAUUAUUAUAAUUAUUAGUUUACUUAAUUAACCUUUGUUUCUAAAUAUUUAAACCUUAUAAUACAAUGUUAUUCUUGACCAAUACCACCCACUAACUAUAUUUUGGCCUUAUUACAUCAUAAAUCCCCCAUUUUAUAAAGACAACAACAAUUAGGUACUUGCAGAUUUAACCCCUAAAUUUUCAUUUUAUGCGAUUAAGCAUUUUCUUUAAUCGGUCACUCAAACGACAAAAUUAAAACACGAAAAUUUCAAACAAUCAAAUUCACACAUAAUAAACUCACAAAAUAAUAUUAAAAUAUUUUUUAGACUUAGAAUUGUGGUUUCAAAACUACUAUUCUGAUUAGGGUCAAAAUCGAGCUAUUACAAAAAUAAUCUAGGCGUAUGUGGUACAAUCGUCUUAGUGAAUACUUGUUAAAAGAAUGUUACAAAAACGAUCCAAUUUGUAUAUGUGUCUUUACAAAAAAGUUUGGAUCAAAUUUUGUGAUAAUUGUUGUCUAUAUUGAUAAUCUAAAUGUUACUGGAACUCCUAAAGAGCUCCAAAAUAUAGUAAAUUGUUUAAAGAAAGAAUUUGAGAUGAAAGAUCUUGGAAAAACAAAGUUUUGUCUUGGCUUACAGAUCGAGCAUUUAAAAGAUGGAAUUCAUGUUCAUCAAUCAACUUAUACGGAAAAGAUAUUAAAGAAAUUUUACAUGGAUAAAGCACGCCUCUUAAGUACUCUGAUGAUUGUACGAUCGUUAUAUGUUUAUAAAGAUGAAUUACGUCCUUACGAGGAUGGUGAAGAGUUUCUUUGUAACACCAUAGACACGGCCUAAACGUUAUGGCCGAAUCUGACGAUGUCACAAGGUAGUGCUUUUCAAAAAAUAUGUCGUCGCUAAAUCCCCUUUUCUAUUUAACCAUUUUUUUCAUUAUCUUAUGUUAAUUUCAAAUCGUGUCGUUCGUUUCCAAAACAUUGUUCAUUUACAAAUUGUUAUUCAAUUUCAAAAUGUUUUCUUAUUGCGGAAGCUUUUAAAAAUUUUACGAAUUCGUGGUAUUUUUUGUAAAACAUUAAUUUCAUUUGAAAACCUGAGUUUUACCUAACACUAGCAUAUUUAAAUCAUAAACUGUAUAAAAACCAAAUUUAAACCAAAAUUCGUAAAGGCCAUAAUUACAGUAAAAUACUCCCAAAUAAAAUUAAAAUCAUAAAUAGGUAAUAAACAGUGUAAAAGAAGUCGUGUGGCCACCACUGAGUCCUCUGUCGUACUGAUCCGCUUAUAUCUGGGGAUUACCUGUAUAGAUUAACAGAAAGGGUUGAGUUUAUGUAACCUCAGUGUGUAAUCCCCAUACAAAUGAACAGACAGUAAUCAGAUAAUCACAGUCUGGGCUUAAGCCCUUUUCAGUAUCAAUAUCAGUCCAGUUUGGGCCUUAGCCCAUCUCAGUACAAAAAUAGUCAUGCAGUAGGACCUUCGCCCAUCACAGUAUCAGUAGUAGUAACAGAUAUGCAGUCACAAAAAUCUUACCCAUCUAGCCUCUACACACCAUCUCCGUCCAACCCUACACUCCAUGUAGGGAUAUAAUCAACCCACCCAUUCUUACACUCCAAGUAGUACCGAAUACGGCACUAGAUAGUAGUUUGCAGCUAAGCUACCAGCAAAUUAGGCUCGAGGCCUUUCAGUACACUUCCUCCGAACAUUAUAAUCCCCUAACCCAAUGCAAUGCAAUAUACAGAUAUGACAUGCUAUAACAUAAUAUCAUGCAAGUAAACAGGGCAUACAGUAUAAGAUCAAUGGGACAUCAUCAGGCUUAAUCAUAUCAGCCAUACAGUCAUUUCAGUCCAUUAGUGGUUUAGGUAAACUUCUGGACCCUACAAUAGGUUCACAGUCGACUUGGGUGACCCGUGCAUCCUUAUCAGUCAAACAGUCAAAACGGGCCUACAAGCCCAUGAUGUUCACCCGUGUGGGCCCACACGCCCGUGUGGCCUACAUGACCCAAAUUGGCUUUGGCUUGUUGAUCCAUUUUAAUGUAACUUGUGCUAGUUAAUUAUUCAUAUGUGUUUCCACUAUUAACUUAUAUGAUCCUCCAAAGUUGUCUACUUGAGUCACUAUUACUAAAUUAUUUGUAUCUUAAGCUACAGAAUUUUGAAUUAAGAUCCGUAAAUUUUUCCUAAAACUAGACUCACAUAUCUUAUUACCAUAAAAUUUUUAGAAUUAUUAGUUUAGCCAAUAAGUACAUUUUAUUCUUUAAAGUUUCCCCUAUUCUGCUAUUUGACAGUUUCGACCUUUUUUUACUAAAAAUGAAUUAUCUUCUCUUACAGAAUUUGGAUGAUGUUCCCGUUUAUUUCUCUUGAAAGUAGACUUAUUCAAGAUUUUAAAGAUAUAAAUUCUAGCUCAUAAUUAUUUUUAUACAAUUUUUAUAAAUUUUUCAAAGUUAGGAUAGGGGAUUCCAAAAUCAUUCUAACCCUGUCUUACUAAAAUUCAAAUAUCUCAAUAUGAAAUUCUUUUGCUUACUUUGUUUAUUUUAUGAGAAACUAAACUCAAAUAUCUUUAAUCCCAUAUUUUUUUCAUCCUCUAAUUCAAUUUCCACAAUUUCUGUUGAUUUUUCAAAUUUAGACUACUGUUAUCCAAAUAGCAAGCAAUUUCAGCUUUUUGUCAAAUCCCUUAUUUUUGUGUUUCGGGUACACACCUGGUUUUGUUUGAUGCUAAAAUAGUCCUCGAGCACUCCAAAGCCUAUAAUUGAACAAAUAACACCAUAAUCAGUGUUACCUCGUGAUUAAUCAAAACCCUGAAACCAAAAUACUUACUCAUAAAACGAUGAACACUUACCGCAAAAACUUCAAACCGGUACGUUUAUGAAAAUCAUGAGGAGAGCCUUAAUCCUCGUGAAAUGCUACUGCCAACACCCCUGAAUUAGAUUAUUGAACACAAAAUAAUAUCUUAAAAUGAUACCCAACAACUUACUAAAUUUGCACAAGUGCUGCAUAACGCUACGAAAUCAAGAGGAAAGAAUGGUUUAGGGGAAGCAAGGGAAUAUAGGCAGUAGUAGAGGAAAGAAAAGAAGAGAUAAUCGAGUAAGAAGUAAAACAGAAAAAAUUUGGUAGAGAUGGGGGAGAGAAAACGUCAGAAAGAUGGAGAGAAAAACGACUCUGUUUUUUUCUAAAAAGGAAAAAGUGAUAAGAUUUUGGAUAUUCUCCCCCAUAAUUCUCUAAUUCACUCCUAAAAUUGAUCCCUUACUUCCCACUACACAUCUACCAUUCAGAAACCUAGUUCAGCACAACUCUUGCCGAAAUUAGGAGCAAAAAUACAACCCUUGUCAUCCCAAAGAUUCGAACCCAUAACCUUCCUCACACCAACAUUUCACUUAUCCACCAAACCAACAAGCCCAUUAUGUUAAUUAUUUUCCAAAUUUUACUUAAAAGCCUAUUGACCAAAGAUAGGGCUUAUUCAUAAAAAUACCAAAAUUUUCCCAAGUCUUGGCUAGAACUUAGGACCUCCCAAACACUUCCAGAACAUAUAACCACUAAAGCUGACAAAUGUUUGUAUCACACAUUCACAAUACCUAAAAUUAAAAUUUUAGGGCGUUACAUUCUUGGUCCUGAAGUACCAUAUUUAAGUGUCAUAGGGGCAUUGAUGUAUCUUGUGAACAACACAAGACCUGAUAUAGCUUUCCCUAUAAACUUGUUAGCAAGAUUCAGUUAUUCUCCAACACGUAGACAUUGGAAUGGAAUUAAACAUGUAUUUAGAUAUCUCAGAGGGACUAUUGAUAUGGGGUUAUUUAAUUCAAAUGAUUCAAAAUCCCUAUUAGUCGGCUAUGCUGAUGUUGGAUACUUAUCGGAUCCACAUAAAGGUUGAUCUCAAACAGGAUAUUUAUUUACAUGUGGGGAUACUGCCAUAUCAUGGCGUUCAACAAAGCAAACAUUAGCUGUUGCUUCUUCAAAUCAUGCAGAAAUAAUUGCAAUGCAUGAGGCAAGUCGAGAGUGUGUUUGGCUAAGGUUAUUAACCCAACAUAUCCAGAAGGUAUGUAAUUUGCCUUUACAGGAAAAGAUGCCAACUAUCUUAUACGAAGAUAAUGCAGCGUGUAUAGCUCAAUUGAAGGGUGGCUAUGUCAAAGGUGACAGAACGAAACAUAUUUCAGUAAAAUUAUUCUUCACCCAUGAUCUUGAGAAAAGAGGUGAUAUAAAUGUUCAACAAAUUCGUUCUAGUGAGAAUUGAGCAGAUCUUUUUACUAAGGCAUUGCCAACUUCAACAUUUGAAAGACUACUACACAAGAUUGGAAUGCGUCGAUUCAAAGAUGUAAUGUAAUGCUACCAUCAGGGGGAGUCUAAAAACAAGUUGUACUCUUUUCUUUUAAUUAAGGUUUUGUUCCAUUAAGUUUUCCUGGUAAAGGUUUUUAACGAGGCAGCUUGUAAUAGAAGAUUGUGUACUUUUUUUCCCUCAUUAGGUUUUUUAUCCCACAAGGUUUUUCCUAAUAAGGUUUUAACAAGGCAAUUUAUCUACCAAUGGACAUCCAAUGAGGAGUGCUAUGAAUACCUUAUUAAGUGGAUGUCCAUCAUUAUAAAGAUAAAUUUUUGAUAUACUUUAAAUUCUAAUAGUUUUUAGCAUUAGAUCUCUAUUUCUUUUAUACUUCUUAUACCUAUAAAUAGAGACUCUGAUGAAGCAUUGUAGUCAUCCAUUUUGAUCAAUAAAGUUCAUUCUCUGUUGCUUUCAUAUUUUCUUUGUUCUUUAUUCUCUCCAUCUCUCUUUAUUUUAUAACAAGAUACAUAUUAUUUCUAUAAUUAUAUAGAUAUUUAUUUCUAAAAUUAAAAAAAUCAAUAAAAAUAUUUAAAAAUUUAUUCCUAAAAUUGAAAUUAAAAAAAAUAUUUUUUAUAAUUACGAAAAAGGAAUGAGAUUACUUAGAAUUGAACCCAAGCUCUCAUACUAAAAACAUAAUACUCUUGUCAUUAAGCUAAAAGAUUAUUGACAAUUAAAUUAAAAUUAUCUAUAUAAUAUAUAUUUUUACUUUUUGGAAUCAUCAAUUAUAUAUAUUAUAAUAAUUUUAUCUUUGAAUUUUUCUAUAAUUAAAUUAGAAAUCAUAUGCAUAAUAUUACAAAUAUAUUAUCUUUUAAAAACUUAAAUAUAUAUUUUAAGUUGUUUAUAUCUUUUAAAAAUUAUUUCAUUAAUAAUUUUAAUUAAUAUGUAGUUAUUUAAAUAAUAAUUUUAUAAAACACAUGGGAUAGAAAAUUAAUUACUUAAAAAUAAAACAAUUCUAAUAAAAUGAGUUUAAAAACAAAAAUUGAAUUCAACCAUGAGAUCAUCUUUGAUCCUUCUCCAACUCAUCUUUCUUAGAAAUAAGUGAUAUAUAAUAAAGUCGACAAAGAAUUUUAUAUAAGUUUUAUAUAUAAAAUUGGGAGGUCACUCUCAAAAUUUUCUUUUUCUCCCUAAACAAGUCGUCUUCUUAUGUUUUAUGUUUGGACUUUUAUGUUUGGACUAUCAAUAAUUUCUGUCAGACGACGUCAUUGAUAUUGAUUCAUGUUUGUUCUUAUAGGGACUUUGAUUAAAAAACUGAAAUUUUUAUCUUAUUCUAGAAAUAUUUGUAUAAAAAAAUCCUCCAAUUUUCUUCCUCUCCGCCUUAUUAUAAAUUACUUACUGAUUAUUAGGAAAAAUGAGAUCUCCCGAAAACUAGGACAAAGGCAAAAUGCAAUGGAAAGAAUAGAAUUAGAUGAAGCAAUGCUACAAGGGCAAGCAGAGAUAUGGCGUUACCUGUACAGCUUCGCAGAUUCCAUGGCGCUUAAGUCUGCCGUGGAGCUCCGCAUAGCUGACAUAAUACACUCUAAUGGUGGCGCCGCCACUUUGUCGCAAAUAGCCUCAUGCAUUAAUGACAGCCUUACUUCACCAAAUAUCACCACCC
rnacentral:lncRNA from 1 species